GACGAACGCUGGCGGCGUGCUUAACACAUGCAAGUCGAACGGAAAGGCCCCUUUGGGGGUACUCGAGUGGCGAACGGGUGAGUAACACGUGAGUAACCUGCCCUUGACUUCGGGAUAACUUCAGGAAACUGGGGCUAAUACCGGAUAGGAAUCCUUGCUGCAUGGUGGGGGUUGGAAAGCUUCGGCGGUUUUGGAUGGACUCGCGGCUUAUCAGCUUGUUGGUGGGGUAGUGGCUUACCAAGGCUUUGACGGGUAGCCGGCCUGAGAGGGCGACCGGCCACAUUGGGACUGAGAUACGGCCCAGACUCCUACGGGAGGCAGCAGUGGGGAAUAUUGCACAAUGGGCGGAAGCCUGAUGCAGCAACGCCGCGUGCGGGAUGACGGCCUUCGGGUUGUAAACCGCUUUCAGCAGGGGCGAAGCUUUUGGGACGGUACCUGCAGAAGAAGCACCGGCUAACUACGG
rnacentral:rRNA from 1 species